rnacentral:rRNA from 1 species
UACGUAGGGUGCAAGCGUUGUUCGGAAUUAUUGGGCGUAAAGCGCGUGUAGGCGGCUGUCUAAGUCUGAUGUGAAAUCCCGGGGCUUAACUCCGGAAGUGCAUUGGAUACUGGAUAGCUAGAGGAUGAGAGAGGAAAGUGGAAUUCCUGGUGUAGGGGUGAAAUCCGUAGAUAUCAGGAGGAACAUCGGUGGCGAAGGCGGCUUUCUGGCUCAUUUCUGACGCUCAGACGCGAAAGCGUGGGUAGCAAACAGG